GAAGGGGGACAUCCAGCAAGCAGGCCAUGGCGGUGGCCAGAUCCGCCCAUCAGACCAGCAUCGUGAGGAGACAGACGGCAUGGAGCUGGUCGUCAAGGUCCGACCUUGGUGAGUUCAAUCAAUGUCUUGGUUCUGACCUUCUUCCCUUCCCUUGCCUCCGUUGAUGCUCUUCCUCAUGCAGGCAGGCACCAAGGUGCACGUACUCCAUGGAGAUGCUUCUCCAUCCAGCUCUGACACACACGCCGUAGCCGCGGUAACCAUCAAGGAACUCAAAUAGUUGAUGCUGGCAAAAUAGAAGUUCCUUCACCAAAGAAAGUAAUUCCACUGAUUCCAGGAUUUGUGAGUUCGUAGUAGUGUUCUAUUUAUAGACCUAGUGGUCAUUUCACUGUUUCUUAGUUGGUUGUGUCGCUGAUCCCGUUGAAACUCUCUAUUUUUGGAUCAUUGGACCAGUUCUAGUUAUCCUAAGUGCAAUCCCUAACAGCAAAGCAUUUUCCUACGGGUCAUGUCUAGUAAGCCCAAGAAAACUAAUAGGGAGCAGAUGGGCAUAGGGUGGCAUCGACGACGACGACGACAUCGACAUGGGGUUGCGGCGGCGACGAUGACGGCGGCAUCGACAAGGGGCUGCGGCGCCGACGACAUCAUCAUGGUGCUGCGGCGGCGACGACAACAACAACAUCAACAUUGGCUUCUGGAGGCGCCGACGCUGACCUAUAAGCGCGGCGUAUAUUGUAUAUACCUGUAUUAAUUUUCUAUAUCAGAUAUGCAUGAUUGACUGUAAGCAUAACAUGUACAUAUUAUGAAUGCAUGUAUGUGAGUACUAUGAAAUGUUUGUCUAAACUGGAAUAAAUAGAUUUUUAUUUUUUUAAA